rnacentral:rRNA from 1 species
UACGGAGGGGGCGAGCGUUGUCCGAAGUUACUGGGCGUAAAGCGCGCGUAGGCGGGUGGGUAAGUCCGCUGUGAAAGCCCGGAGCUCAACUCCGGAGGGUCGGUGGAUACUGCCCAUCUUGAAGGUGCUAGGGGGAGAUGGAAUUACCGGUGUAGCGGUGAAAUGCGUAGAGAUCGGUAGGAACACCAGUGGCGAAGGCGGCUUGCCAGAACGCGCUCGACGGUGAGGGAUGAAAGCUGGGGGAGCAAACCGG